rnacentral:rRNA from 1 species
GACAGAGGCCCCAAGCGUUAGGCGGAAUCACUGGGCUUAAAGCGUGUGUAGGCGGAUCGUUAAGUGUCUUGUGAAAUCCCACGGCUCACCCGUGGAACGGCUGGGCAUACUGGCGAUCUUGGGCCAACUAGGGGCAGUCGGAACAAGCGGUGGAGCGGUGAAAUGCGUAGAGAUCCGGAGGAACCCCAGAGGCGAAGGCGGCAGCCUGGUUGGCUCCUGACGCUCGGACACGACAGCAUGGGGAGCGAACGGG